CCCUCCGGCUCAGACCGCUGAAGGGUUUCCCUUCCCGGCUGCUGCUGAUCCCUUCCUAUUCCGGAGUCACACAGCCCAGCAGUGCCCCCGAGCAGCGAUGGGUCCAAGGACCACUUGGGAUGGUCAUGCAGAUGCUGGUGCUGCUGCAGCACAGCCUGUUUGCAGUCGUGCUGCGGUCCCGGCGGCUGCAGGUAGGUGAUGGAUGAGGGGCCCGGGGGCGCGGGGGCACAGGGGCUGCCCCUCACCCACCCACUCACUGCUCCCACAGAAGAUCUGCCGGAGGUUGGGGAAGAAGAGGAGAGUGCCGAGCGCCAGGAGGAAGAAGGGGAGAGGUGAGCAGCCCCAGUGCCUGCGCUGAGCAGCCCAGCCAGUGUGGGGCUGGGUGGGGGUCCCGGCCGUUCACACGCUCUUGCUUUGGCAGAUGCUUGCGGGAAGGACAGAGCAGCGGGGAUGUCGUCGCCGACCUGGGAGUUGCGGACGAGCCCACGGGAAAGGAGCAGGAAGCCACCCCGCGCCCCGCUGGCAUCCAUGCUGUCCCUGGGCUCCCUUGAUGAAUCUUCUUCCUCCUCCGGUUCCUCCCUCUACUCCUUCCCAGAGCCCUGGCCCGGUGCACUGUCAGAGUUGGCUGCCCUUGCCCCUCGUGCCGCCCCAGAGCCACGAGAGCCACAACCAGGGCCAGAGCCACAGCAAGAACCAGAGCCAGAGCCAGAGGCAGAGCUGGAGCCUGAUCCAGAGUCAGAGCCAGAGUCAGAGGCAGAGGCAGAGCCUGAGGAAGAGCUGGAGCCACAACCAGAGUCAGAGGCAGCGUCAGAGGAAGAGCCAGAGGAAGAGCCUGAGGCAGAGCCGUCCCUGUGCCCCAGCUCGGAGUCCCCGGCUCUGCUGAGAGCAGCCCCCAGCACCCCCUAUUCCCUGCGGAUGACUGAGCAGAGCGAUGGAGCGCAGAGCCCCAUGGAGCCCUCCCCGCCCCACUGCUCCCACACGGAGCUCAUCCAGGAGCUGAUCUGUGCCAUCCGUGAGAACCACGCAGCCGUUGAGCGCCGCUGCCAACUGCUGCGGGCAGUGCUGGAGCGGCAGAGGGCAGCCGGGACGCCCAGAGA
ensembl:lncRNA